CCAGACUCCUACGGGAGGCAGCAGUGGGGAAUAUUGGGCAAUGGAGGAAACUCUUACCCAGCAAUGCCGCGUGAAUGAAGAAGGUCUUCGGAUUGUAAAGUUCUUUAAUUGGGGACGAAAAAAAUGACGGUACCUGGGGAGGAAGCUCCGGCUAACUACGUGCCAGCAGCCGCGGUAAUACGUAGGGAGCGAGCGUUGUCCGGAAUUACUGGGUGUAAAGGGAGCGUAGGCGGGGAUGCAAGUUGGGUGUCAAAACUACCGGCUCAACUGGUAGUCGCACUCAAAACUGCAGCUCUUGAGUGAAGUAGAGGCAGGCGGAAUUCCUAGUGUAGCGGUGAAAUGCGUAGAUAUUAGGAGGAACACCAGUGGCGAAGGCGGCCUGCUGGGCUUUUACUGACGCUGAGGCUCGAAAGUGUGGGGAGCAAACAGGAUUAGAUCCCCCAGUA
rnacentral:rRNA from 1 species